CUAAACGACUCUCGGCAACGGAUAUCUCGGCUCUCGCAUCGAUGAAGAACGUAGCGAAAUGCGAUACUUGGUGUGAAUUGCAGAAUCCCGUGAACCAUCGAGUCUUUGAACGCAAGUUGCGCCCGAAGCCUCACGGCCGAGGGCACGCCUGCCUGGGCGUCACGCA
rnacentral:rRNA from 1 species